CACAUCUGAAAAGCGGGCAGCCGACGGCUGUCCCACCCAAGGUGCAAACCGCCCCCGCGCCGCGGCGACAUCCGUCUCGCGUACCGGGUCGUGGUGAACCUCUCAGGUUCCGAUGACAGAUGGGGAGGG
rnacentral:ncRNA from 1 species